rnacentral:lncRNA from 1 species
CGGAAGACAACAGCAUUAAUUCAGGAUCUUUAGUUAUAUUAGAAGAUCAAAGAUCUGCAGAUCAAAGGAGGCACUAUUCCUUCGCAAAAUGCUGGAUGCAGGAGCUGGACUGAAGUUGUUCCUGAGGCGGCAGCUCUGGGUGACAGCAAGGGAGGCAGUGCAGGAUGGAGGUCUACAGAGAGAGAGGAAGACAGCAAAACAGGAGAGGUCCAGAAGAAAACAAUCAUUAUUGACAGUGUUGGGGGAAUCAGCAAAAAUACUGGCACAACCAAAUAAUGUGUACUUCAGUUUGGCAAAAUGCAACCCAAUAUACCUAGGAACAAAAAAAUACAGGUCAGUUUUGCCUAAUAAGGUGUUCUGUCUUGAAGAG